ensembl:lncRNA
AAAGAAUUGAAAUAUGUCUACCUUCAAAUUAUUUAAUCACCCUAGAACAAAUUAGAUUUGGUGGCUGUGAGGGCAAAAACACAACAACAUAUUACAAAACACAGCAAAUGUUUUUCUUUUCUGAAACAGAUUUUUUUGUUAGAUAUUUUUUUUUCUUUUUUUCUUAGUUAAAUGCUGUGUUUUCUGAAAUGUUGUAUAUUGAGUCAACUUGUUGUACUCUAGCCCUUUGCCGCUCCUUAAAAAGGGAGCCAGAUAAAAAGAAAAAAGAGGCAUUUAUAUUUAAACCUCCUGUGUAACCUGAUAGACAUCCAGUGACAGUGGCCAUCUUUUAUUGUUAUGCACACCACCUGCCAGAGUUUUUUAUUCAGAGAUAGGUAAGUUACGAGAUGUCCUGAUCAGAUAACCUGCUGCAGGAUGUCUUAAUCCUUUUGUUCUUUCAAGAAAUAGGUCAUUACCUGAUUGUAGGUGUGCACUGAAUUACCCCUUCGAGAGGUCAUGUGACUCCAAAUACAAAGGGGGCCAGUCUUCAUCAGACUUAUCUGACGGUGUUCAGAAGGAGGAAUCAUUUCAAAACAAAAUCACACUGUUGAUAGUGUGGAGAUAAGACGUGGGGAUAAUUAACUGUGUAUUUAGACUGAGUGAAUCCCACCUGCCCUCCUCUAUUGGCUGCUGGUAGGGGGUGGAGGUUGUGGCUGUAAACUGUGAAGCCUUGCUGGUGUGUUAUCCAAAGGGGCCGCCGUGUAUAUAAAAAGGUGGUGGCAGGUGUUUUUCAACAUAAAGUCGAUGAAUGAUGUGGGUUCUCUUCUUUCUGAGUGCCUUGUUGGGGGCGUUGGGGUCAGAGGAGUCGACCUCUGGAGCUGCUCCGCAGCUUCAAGCUCUCCACUGCCCGCCCUGCGAGCAGAUCCACUGCUCCUCCCGCCGGGCGCUGAAGCUCCAGUGUAAAGGCGGCGUGACGACAGGCGUGUGCGGCUGCUGCCCCGUCUGCGCUAGGGUGGAGGGGGAGAGCUGUGGAGGAACAUGGGACUAUCUGGGCAAGUGUGACGAGGGGCUGGUGUGUGUCUACCAGGACUCAGCAGCUGACAGGCCAGACGCAGAGCGCGCAGGGAUCUGUGAAGCGGUGAUUAACUUGGAUCCAGAGAGCUGCCAGCCAGAGUGCACCAGGGAAUACUGUCAGGCCAACCCCUCUGAAAUCUGCUCUGCCAGGUUUGUGUCUCUGGAGAAGACAACGUGCCAGGGCUCCUGCCAACACACCUCCUGUUCAAGCUGUCUGCUGCUGAAACCCCCGUCCUGUCCUCAGACCUGCAACCACUCUGAUGCGUCCUGUCUGCACCGCUUUGGGAAGUGUGUGCACAACCACCUGACAGCCACUCACAGUCACAUGUGCCACAACAACCUGCAGGUAGGUGAAGAGAAAAGCACCAGAAACUGCUCUGUAAUGCCUUGAAACACUUGACCCAUCGUUAAACUGUGUUGUGUCUUUAUUUUUCUCUCCGUAGGGUCAGUCUGAGGGGCAUUUUCGGUGUUUGGUCCCAGCCUGUCUGACAGAGUCAAACUAAUUCCACAAGACUGGAAACCCAGAGAAAACAAGCCCGUGUAGCAAAAUUGAAAAAAAGGCAGCUAUCUAUAAAUAUGUGUGUAUAAAUGAAAUAUCAUUUUGUAUGAAAUAUAAAGUUGAGUAAAAACCUGUGACAUUUUAUGUUUUUUUUUUUAAAUAAUGAGAAAAUAAAAUUCCAAGUGUGUACUCUCUUUUUUUAUUGAUUUGUUUGGGACAAUGGUGUGAUGUUUUAACCAUUGAUGGUUGUGUUGGUCGACCUCUUCCAAGUUUUUUUAUGAGGCUGUCACUUGUUGUACAUUCCGUUGCCUUUCUUUUUACAAGUUGACUUUAAGAGAUACGCAGAAGAAUUCCAAUGUAACUGUACUGUCCUGUACCUUUGCAAAUGGUAAUAAAAAUCUAAUCUCCAAUCUCUCUAAUCAGUAAGCUUCUGUGUCAGGUUUUAGCAGUCGUUUUUACAUAGUUUAUUCUAUUUUUCUACCUGACUACAAGAAUAAAUCCCCCCGCGGACAUAAAGGUUCACUAGUUAAAUGAUACACAACACCUGUGCUGCAUGUGAAAUGCCUGAUUUCACUCUGUACUGGGACUCAGUUGA